UACGAAGGUCCCGAGCGUUGUUCGGAAUCACUGGGCGUAAAGGGAGCGUAGGCGGCGCGGUAAGUCAGAUGUGAAAUCCCGGGGCUCAACCCCGGAACUGCAUCCGAUACUGCCAUGCUAGAGUGAUGGAGAGGUAGCUGGAAUUCUUGGUGUAGCAGUGAAAUGCGUUGAGAUCAAGAGGAACACUCGUGGCGAAGGCGAGCUACUGGACAUAUACUGACGCUGAGGCGCGAAGGCCAGGGUAGCAAAAGGG
rnacentral:rRNA from 1 species